UACGGGGGGAGGCAAGCGUUGUUCGGAUUUACUGGGCGUAAAGGGCGCGUAGGCGGUCAGCACAAGUCAGUUGUGAAAUCUCCGGGCUUAACUCGGAAAGGUCAACUGAUACUGUGCGACUAGAGUGCGGAAGGGGCAACUGGAAUUCUCGGUGUAGCGGUGAAAUGCGUAGAUAUCGAGAGGAACACCUGCGGCGAAGGCGGGUUGCUGGGCCGACACUGACGCUGGAGGCGCGAAAGCCAGGGGAGCGAACGGG
rnacentral:rRNA from 1 species